CUGAAACCAGAGCGAUGACCCUUCAAAGAGAACACGUUUUUGACUUGAUCGACAAUGGGCUUCAUUCAACCGAAUAUCAACUUGAAGAUUUGUACUCAGGCGAGGAAAUAGGUUCUACAAGGGAGAAUGGCAUUCCAUCAGC